rnacentral:rRNA from 1 species
GGAGGGGGAACGACCGUGGCAGGGAAUGGCCGCGGGAUGACGUGAAUCCCGGAAUAAGCCCCGGCUAACUACGUGCCAGCAGCCGCGGUAACACGUAGGGGGCGAGCGUUGUUCGGAAUCAUUGGGCGUAAAGGGCGUGCAGGCGGUCCUGCAAGUCCGGCGUGAAAGACCCCGGCCCAACCGGGGGGGCGCGCUGGAAACUGCAGGGCUUGAGUACAGGAGGGGAUGCCGGAAUUCCAGGUGUAGGGGUGAAAUCUGUAGAUAUCUGGAGGAACACCAAUGGCGAAGGCAGGCAUCUGGCCAUGUACUGACGCUGAGACGCGAAGGUGCGGGGAGCAAACAGGUUUAGAUACCCUGGUAGUCCGCACAGUAAACGAUGUGCACCAGGUGGCGGGGGGUCGACCCCCGGUACCGUAGCCAACGCAUUAAGUGCACCGCCUGGGGAGUAUGCUCGCAAGGGUGAAACUCAAAUG